AUCUGAAGUCUAAGUUGUUAACGGAUACGAUAUGGGAAGGUUGAGCUGCUGUUUAUCUGUUCCUAGAGAUGCUAGAAUUCUGGAGAAUUUUAUUUUUGAAAAUCUUUAAAAUGUUGCAUGAUGAGUUCCUGUAUGAUGAGAGUUUAAAUUCCUACCACAGCCAUAUAUACAUGCUUGUUAGACUUUGAGCCACACAUUUAUUAUUUACUGCUUAUGAGCAUUGAGUGUGGUCAAGCUGUGUUGACCCUUAGGAGCUUGUCAUGUGGUUAAAUCAAGAUUUCACUUGCACGUUCACUCAUAUAUGCUACUUCUACCCCGGAAGUACCAUCCACAUAUAUCCACCCAUUCCAUCUCCGGAAUCACCCAAAAAUAUUCUACUCCUAACCCGGGAGAGAAUAACCAAAAAUAUUUCUGUUUUCCCCUUGUGAAAUAAAUGCUCAAGUUAUCUUGUUACUACCACUUGCUAUAUUAUCUCAAGAGAUGAAUGCUCUGAAAAAAAAGAAAGAUACGAGGAAAUAAAAAGGAGCAAGUGCUCGGAACCUCGAAAGAAAAGAAAAGUGAGACGAGAGGUAAAAAUGGACAAGUGUCCGACAGUAGAAUUAGGGGUGCAAGAUACGCACCUGAGAGGAAAGAAAAAGAUAGAGCAUCUCAUUCUCAUCAUAAAGUUUCAAAAAGCAAGGAAGGUAUGUAACCCCUCAAAAGAGCAAAAGUAGAAUUAGACUUCCACCUCCAUUGUUUUCACCAUUGUUUCCACCAUUGUUAUCACCAUCAUCACCAUACACCAUCCAUUCGCCACACAUGCACAUCUUGAUUAAACUUAUUGACUUGUUACUUUGGAUCCAUGGUUUGACUAUGCAAUAAAUGUCUUGUAAGUAUGUAUACUUUAUCUCCCACCUAUGAGCUCCAGAUAUUAAAGCCUUAUUAGAGUAGGGUGAGAGAGAAGGCAAUGUCACUAUGCCUCAUACCACAAAUACUACAUAUUUUGAGAGAAGGCAUAUACCAUCACUGCCUUGGUAAGGAUCCAAAAAUACCACAAAAGAGAGACCUGAGAGAAUCAUACAAGGAAUUUCUGAGUUUUAUUUGAAAAUCUGCAAAAACCCCAGAGCUAUAGCUGAUCAAGAAUAAGAGACAUGGCACUUGGCUAGACUGUUCUAUCUUUUAACUACUCAAGACAGAAGUGAUAGUUACAAGUCCCAUGGUGAAGGUAAAGUAAGUAAGUUUUAAGUCUUGACAGUUUACUCUAACUCAGAGAUGAGAUCUUAUUUAAAAGCAUGUGUACCGUCAAAUUUUUAAAGAUAUAAGUCUAUCCUUGCUCAGGGACGAGCAAGAGGUAAGCUUGGGGGAGUUUGUUGACGGUCCUUAAGUAUCAAAUUUAAUUAUCAAAUAAAUGAAGAAAAGGAUCCAAAUGAAAUCAAGAUCUAGACUUAGGGUUUUAUCUGACAGAAUUCCACGAGUUUUGGUGUUUGUCUAUUUCUACAGGGGGUUAUCAGGAAAUACGGAAGAAAGACCCACAUGUCAGGAUUACGUAAAGAUAUUAACGUGCUGCGCAAUUAUCUUACAUCUAGAAGACUCCAGAAACCACGAGACCGAAGCGGAGGCGAAACGGGGCCUGACCCUGGGCGGCCGCCCAGCUGGUCAGGGCGCCCGCCCUGCCCCUGAGUCCAAUCAGGACUCUGCUUUGCGGGAGAUCUCCACCGACCUAAAGGAUGAAUCUAAACCAUACAAUCUAUGUCGGUUUGAUCCAAGGGCCCAUAUUCACUUGAAGGGACUAUAAAACCAGACCCCCUGGCCCCUGGAGGAGAGAGCCUCUCAACCCUAAUUCAUUGUUCCAUCAAGGGAGAAGAAGCCUCUGAUCAAGAUUAGAGCCACCACAUCAAUUAGAUAUCUAGAUUAGCAUAGCUACAUAGGAUUAGAACUAGAAGGAGUCAAUCUUCGAUUGGUUUCCGGAUCUGUCAAGAGGAUUCUUGGUAAUUCUCUAAUUGUGCUUCUAAUUGCUUUCUAAUUAUCUUUGUUCUUCAAUAUUAUGAAUAUGACUUUGUUCUACUUCAAUAUAUUGCUUAUGACUUUGCUCUACUUGCUUACAAGAUUAUAUUGUUCUUAGUUUAUCAUAGUUAUGUACUUGGCUUAGUUAGAUUCGAUCUAUAUACAUGCUUAGGAUCGUAUAGCGUUUAUCCAUCGGAUCCAUGGGUAAAUGAUAGAUAUUGUGUAGGCGUGGUGCUUAUACCGUAUUUAUCUGCGAUUGUACCCAAUAUGCCAGAUCGUGGGGUGGUUCGUGAUAGUGACAGCUUCAUUGAUUCUUAUAUAGUCCCCCUCUCGUGUAUUGGGCUGGCAGAGCAACAUUAUUACAGGGGAGUGAUUGCUAUGUUUCUCAUAUUCCUUGCUAAUAUCACUAUGCAUGGGCGUAGUCUUGUCUCGCAAUGAUUGCUAAGUAUGCUUGCACUAACUAUGAUAAUGCUAGACUAUAUAGUUGAGAAUAACUUAGGGAAUAUUCUUGUAGUUCGUUCUAAUACCAUGCUAAUGACUUUCUAGAGUAUCUAAUUGAGGUGCUUAUCAUAUUUAUUAUGUGGCUAGAUCAGAUUAGUUAUCCUUGUCACUAUUAUUAUUUCAUAUAUCUUUUAUGUGACACUUAUCCCUGUACGAAGAGUUAGAUAUAAUGUUCUCAAUUAUACAUGCAAUGAUAGAUGCUCAAUCUCAUAUUCUAUUCUGUAAUCAAUAUUGAUGAUUUCUAAUCCCUUCCCAGUGGUAAAAAUAACGAUACCUGGAAUACUUCCCGAUUAAAAUGCUGCAUCGGUAUUAAUCUGUGCGCUUGCAGAUCUCAUUCAUUAUUUAUUUAGAAGAGCAAUUGUAUAUUUCAAUACCGCGUCUCUUAUAUCAUGCUGGGGAUGACAACUUGGCUUAAGUGGUGUGAGGGAUAGGUUUGGCAUUUUUGGCACCGUUACUAGAUUUAGAGAACUUAGUCUACUUUUGGUAAUGAUGUUAAGAAUACCCAACACUUGGUAGUUAUCCUUUUCCUUUCAAUUAUUUAAAAUAGUUUGCUUAGUUAAUCAGGUUCAUAUCAUCUUAAAAAGAAAAUAAAAAUGUUAAAAAUAGUAAGCCCCAUGUGAGUAUGCUCAUGGCAUAAAACCCAUAAGUACAUUCACUGUGGUGGCGUAAAAAUAAAAUAAAUAUAUUCCUGUCCUAUAAAAAUGAAAAUAUAAAAAUAAAUUUAUGAUUCUACCAAAGAGAGUAAUAUUUAUUAGAGGAAGCUCAACAUGAUAACGGCUAAGAGAUUUUAUGCUAACUAGUUCCACAAAGCUUUGUUGUCUAUUUGAGCUCCACAGAAUUCAAGGAUCAAAGAAGACUAGCAGACGGAGGACAUCCUAAUCGCUGUCAGGGUGCUGCCGACAUUCAAAUACACCUCCGCCACCUGCUAGCUACAUCAGAAGAAUUACGUCAAAAUCCAGCUUGGGGGAGAGCACCCCCAUUUAUCCAGCUAAGUGUUCUACUCACGUUUAUACUUUACUCAAAUAAUAAAAAGAUGCAUAAUUAUAAAAACCCAAAUAAAGAUUUUGUGCUUAUAUAUAUAUAUCUUUGCUUAGUUUGCUAAAUAAAUAAAUAAAUAAAGUUUGCUAUGAACCCUCAUGAUAAGCUCUCACAUGGAAAUGAUGAAUAGUUGCUCUGCCAUGACUAGUUCUUAAAAUUGAAAUCUCUCUCAAGUUUAGGCAUGACUGUUAUUAACUAAGAUUUGCUCUAAACCUGAACUUGUGGGAAGAGUACUUGAUCUAAAGUCUAAGCCGUUAACGGAUACGAUAUGGGAAGGUUGAGCUGCUGUUUAUCUGUUCCUAGAGAUGCUAGAAUUCUGGAGAAUUUUAUCUUUGAAAAUCUUUAAAAUGUUGCAAGAUGAGUUCCUGUAUGAUGAGAGAUUAAAAUCCUACCACAGCCAUAUAUACAUGUUUAUUAGACUAUGAACCAUACAUUUACUUUUUACUGCUUAUGAGCAUUGAGUGUGGUCAAGCUGUGUAGACCCUUAGGAGCUUGUCAUGCGGUUAAAAUCAAGAUUCACUUGCACGUUCACUCAUACAUGCUGCUUCUACUCUGGAAGUACGUAUCCACAUACAUCCACUCAUUUCCAUAUCUAGAUUCACCCAAAAUUAUUCUACUCCUAUCUAGGAGAGAAUAGCCAAAAAUAUUAUCCUAUCUCUGUUAUUCUCCGUGAAAUAAAGGCUCGAGAUAUUUUGGUUACUACCACUUGCUACAUUAUUCUGGGAGGGUGAGUGCUCUGAAAAAAAAGUGAAUAUGAGGAAAUAAAAAGGGGCAAGUGCCCGAAACCUCGAAAAAAACAGAGAAAAAGUGAGACGAGAGGUAAAAAUGGACAAGUGUCCGACAGUAGAAUUAGGGGUACAAGAUACCCACCUGAGAGAAAAAAAAUAAAAUAGAGAGCAUCUCAUUCCCCUCAAAAGCCUCAAGUGCAAGGAAGGUAUGUACCCCCUCAAAAGAGCAAAAGUAGAAUUAGACUUUCACCAUUAUCACCAUUCAUUCGCCACACAUGCACAUCUUGAUUUGACUUAUUGACUUGUUCUUCUGGAUCUAUGGUUUGACUAUGCAAUAAAUGUCUUGUAAGUAUGUAUUAGCUGUCUCCCACCUAUGAGCUCCAGAUAUCAAAACCUUAUUAGAGUAGGGUGAGAGAGAAGGCAUACACCAUUAAUGCCUUGGUAAGGAUCCAGAAAUACCACAAAAGAGAGACUAGAGAGAGUCAUACAAGGAAUCUCUGAGUUUUAUUUGAAAAUCUGCAAAAACUCCAGAGCUAUAGUUAAUCGAAGAACAAGAGACAUGGCGCUUGACUAGACUGUUCUAUAUUUUAACUGCUCAAGACACAAGUGACGGUUGCAAGCCCCAUGGUGGAAGGAAAAAUGAGUAAGUUUAAAUCUUAACAGUUUACCCUAACCCAGAGAUGAGAUCUUGUUUGAACGCAUGUGUACCUUUAAGGCAUGAAACCACUGCAGAAACUCUUGAGUCCAUCCUUGCUUAGGGACGAGCAAAGGUUAAGCUUGGGGGAGCUUGUUGAUGGUCCUUAAUGCUCACAUUUAACAGUCAACUGAUCAUGGAAAAGGAUCCAAAUGCAACCGACAUCUAGACUUAGGGUUUUAUCUGACAGAAUUCCAUGAGUUUUGGUGUUUGUCUAUUUCUGUAGGGGGUUAUCAGGAAAUAUGGAGGAAAGGCCCACACGUCGGGUUUACAUAGAGAUAUUAACGUGUGUGCUAAUUUUCUAUCAUCUAAAAGACUCUAGAAGCUACGGGAACGAACGGAAGGCCGAGCGGGCCCGGGGGCAGGGCGCCCGCCCUGCCCCCUUGGGCGCCCGCCCUGCCCUGGUGACCAAUUAGGGAAGGUCUCGCGGAUCGUGCUCCACCGCCUUUGAGGAUCAAGGAAAACCGUGAGAUUAAGGUCGGUUUGAUCCGGCGGCCCACAUUCAUUUGGAGGGGCUAUAUAAGCAGGCCCCCUGGCCCCUGGAGGACAUACCUCUUCUACAGAAUCAAAGCUAGGGUUUCAAUUAUUCAUCCAAGUAGAGAGGAUCCCUCUAGUUCAUCUAGUUCAUCUAGUUCUAGUUCUAGUUAGUUCUAGUUGUAAUCUAGAAAAUAGGGA
rnacentral:lncRNA from 1 species